rnacentral:rRNA from 1 species
GAUGAACGCUGACAGAAUGCUUAACACAUGCAAGUCAACUUGAACUUCGGUUUGGGUGGCGGACGGGUGAGUAACGCGUAAAGAACUUGCCUCACAGAUAGGGACAACAUUUGGAAACGAAUGCUAAUACCUGAUAUUAUGAUUUUAGGGCAUCCUAGAAUUAUGAAAGCUAUAUGCACUGUGAGAGAGCUUUGCGUCCCAUUAGCUAGUUGGAGAGGUAACGGCUCACCAAGGCGAUGAUGGGUAGCCGGCCUGAGAGGGUGAUCGGCCACAAGGGGACUGAGACACGGCCCUUACUCCUACGGGAGGCAGCAGUGGGGAAUAUUGGACAAUGGACCAAGAGUCUGAUCCAGCAAUUCUGUGUGCACGAUGAAGUUUUUCGGAAUGUAAAGUGCUUUCAGUUGGGAAGAAAAAAAUGACGGUACCAACAGAAGAGGUGACGGCUAAAUACGUGCCAGCAGCCGCGGUAAUACGUAUGUCACAAGCGUUAUCCGGAUUUAUUGGGCGUAAAGCGCGUCUAGGUGGUUAUAUAAGUCUGAUGUGAAAAUGCAGGGCUCAACUCUGUAUUGCGUUGGAAACUGUGUAACUAGAGUACUGGAGAGGUAAGCGGAACUACAAGUGUAGAGGUGAAAUUCGUAGAUAUUUGUAGGAAUGCCGAUGGGGAAGCCAGCUUACUGGACAGAUACUGACGCUGAAGCGCGAAAGCGUGGGUAGCAAACAGG